UACGAAGGGGGCUAGCGUUGCUCGGAAUCACUGGGCGUAAAGGGUGCGUAGCGGGUCUUUAAGUCAGGGGUGAAAUCCUGGAGCUCAACUCCAGAACUGCCAUUGAUACUGUCAAUCUUGAGUACAUUUGAUGUGGGCGGAAUGUGUCAUGUAGCGGUGAAAUGCUUAGAUAUGACACAGAACACCGAUUGCGAAGGCAGCUCACAAAACUGUAAACUGACG
rnacentral:rRNA from 1 species